rnacentral:tRNA from 1 species
GGAAUCGUAGCUCAGUUGGCAGAGCAUUGGACUAGUAUCCCAAAGGUCGCGGGUUCGAUUCCCACCGUGGCCA